rnacentral:rRNA from 1 species
GAUGAACGCUGGCGGCGUGCCUAAUACAUGCAAGUCGAGCGAAUGGAUUAAGAGCUUGCUCUUAUGAAGUUAGCGGCGGACGGGUGAGUAACACGUGGGUAACCUGCCCAUAAGACUGGGAUAACUCCGGGAAACCGGGGCUAAUACCGGAUAACAUUUUGAACCGCAUGGUUCGAAAUUGAAAGGCGGCUUCGGCUGUCACUUAUGGAUGGACCCGCGUCGCAUUAGCUAGUUGGUGAGGUAACGGCGCACCAAGGCAACGAUGCGUAGCCGACCUGAGAUGGUGAUCGGCCACACUGGGACUGAGACACGGACCAGACUCCUACGGGAGGCAGCAGUAGGGAAUCUUCCUCAAUGGACGAAAGUCUGACGGAGCAACGCCGCGUGAGUGAUGAAGGCUUUCGGGUCGUAAAACUCUGUUGUUAGGGAAGAACAAGUGCUAGUUGAAUAAGCUGGUACCUUGACGGUACCUAACCAGAAAGCCACGGCUAACUACGUGCCAGCCGCCGCCGUAA